CUCCACCAUGGCUCAUCCCUCCGGUGUGCCACCCCCCUCUCGAAAACAUCACAUCCCCCUUCUAUCUUGCCUACCAUCCUCCAAAGAAUCGACCCUCCCUUGUUGCAUUAUUGAAACAACAUCGGCGCCUUCCCUGUCCUCCGUGCAUCUAGAUCUGGUACCACAGGUAAUCGCUAAUGGCCAGAUCUCGUCUCCAUGUCAUUCCCACAUUUAGAUCUGGUAUCAUCGGCAACAGAGGAUACCUUCAUCCUCUCGAUGGUUAGAUUUGGUCUUCAUGGCAUCCCCAUGUUUAGAUCUGGUCUCAUCGACGACAUGGGAUGCCUGCAUCCUCUCGAUGGCUAGAUCUAGGUGCUCGCUCUUCUCCCGAUCGCCACCGUGGUCAGGUCCGGUCUUCAAUCCUUCCUUCGUUUCCUGGUGGAUUGAUGUGGAAACAACACCGACAAUGAAUGGGAACCCUCCCUCACAUUAUCAACCUCAUUUAUUCUUUCUCGACCACAGGCAAUGCAUAGUUUCAGUGCAAGAAAAAGAUUAUCAAGGAGGAUUAUGGCUAACAAGCUACCACAUCUCCCUUCUAUUUUGCCGACCAUCCUCCAAAGUAUCGAUCAUCCCUUGUUGCGUUGGUGAAACACCGUCAAUGUGUUCCUUGUCCUCCAUGUAUCUAGAUCUAGUACCACAAACAGUUACUAAUGGCCAGAUCUGGUCUCCAUGUCAUCCCCACGUUUAGAUCUGGUCCCAUCGAGAACAGAGGACACAUUCAUCCUCUUGAUGGCCAGAUCUAGGUGCCCGCCCUUCUCCCCAUCACUUUUGUGGUCAUGUUCAAGCAUCUUUCUACCAUUGUUCACCUUACCUGACCUGGUCUCUCAUUCCUCCUUCGUUCCAUGGCCAGAUCCGAUCUCUCGUCACCCCUUUCAUCCCAUUGCCAACUCCGGUCUUCCAUCCUUCCUUUGUUGUUUUACGAACAUAUGUGAAAACGACGCCGGUAAUCAAUGGUAUGUUUAUACAUUUACUUUAUUCUUAUUAUGUAACGCUUGGUUGAUAGCCUGUCGCUGAGCCAUCCCCUUUCUUUCUUCCCCAUGUGGGAGCCACGACGGCCAGAUGGCCUGGGCAAAUUACGAAGGAUCCGGGCGAUAAGCACUUGCCGUGAAAAAUUGUUCAUUGCUUUUCUAUUUCUUUGCUAUAGCUCCACCAAUGCCUCCAGGAACAAUGCAACACAUGACAGGUACCCUUCCUCACAUUAUCAACCUCAUUUAUCCUUUCUGGAGCACACUCUAUGGCAAACAAGCCAUGGAAAUCCAAACCAGUGUUAGGAGGAGAGGCCCCAUAAAAAAAAUGGAGAAACAAUUGCCAAGAUAAGCCAGGGCUCCACGGGGGAAAGCGAAGGAAAGCAAUCUCGGCACUUUCCCCCCCUAAAUUACAGCGCUCUUCAUCCCACGUCAAAGGAUCUCAUCGGGUCGUAGCACACAUCUCUCUCCCUGCCCCGACCCCGAUAUA